rnacentral:rRNA from 1 species
GACUUCUUGGUUCUUGUAUUUGGAUGAGUUUAAGUUAUAAACCCCUUUACAAGUAUCAAUUGGAGGGCAAGUCUGGUGCCAGCAGCCGCGGUAAUUACCAGCUCCAAUAGCGUAUAUUAAAGUUCGUUGCAGUUAAAAAGCUCGUAGUUGGAUUUCUGUUAAUAAUUUAUAUAAAAUAUUUUGAAUAUUUAUAUAAUAUUAACAUAAUUCAUAUUACUAUAUAUUUUAGUAUAUGAAAUUUUACUUUGAGAAAAUUAGAGUGCUUAAAGCAGGCAUAUGCCUUGAAUACUCCAGCAUGGAAUAAUAUUAAAGAUUUUUAUCUUUCUUAUUGGUUCUAAGAUAAGAAUAAUGAUUAAUAGGGACAGUUGGGGGCAUUUGUAUUUAACAGUCAGAGGUGAAAUUCUUAGAUUUGUUAAAGACAAACUAAUGCGAAAGCAUUUGCCAAGGAUGUUUUCAUUAAUCAAGAACGAAAGUUAGGGGAUCGAAGACGAUCAGAUACCGUCGUAGUCUUAACCAUAAACUAUGCCAACUAGAGAUUGGAGGUUGUUCCUUACUCC